UACGAAGGGGACUUGCGUUGUUCGGAAUUACUGGGCGUAAAGCGCACGUAGGCGGAUUUGUAAGUCAGGGGUGAAAUCCCGGGGCUCAACCUCGGAACUGCCUUUGAUACUGCAAAUCUCGAGUCCGAUAGAGGUGGGUGGAAUUCCUAGUGUAGAGGUGAAAUUCGUAGAUAUUAGGAAGAACACCGGUGGCGAAGGCGGCCCACUGGAUCGGUACUGACGCUGAGGUGCGAAAGCGUGGGGAGCAAACAGG
rnacentral:rRNA from 1 species